UAUAUAUUAGUGUAUGAGGCACAUUGAGUUUUGGGUUCUUUAGAUUUAGUUUAAUUCUAAAAUAUAUAA
rnacentral:tRNA from 1 species